ACGGAGGGUGCGAGCGUUGUCCGGAAUCACUGGGCGUAAAGGGCGCGUAGGUGGCGCGAGAAGUCAACGGUGAAAGCUCGUCGCUUAACGACGAGUCGGCCGUCGAUACUCUUGUGCUCGAGCACUGUAGAGGCAGAUGGAAUUCCGGGUGUAGCGGUGAAAUGCGUAGAGAUCGGGAGGAAGGCCGGUGGCGAAGGCGGCGCUCUGGAACGUACCUGACGCUGAGACACGAAAGCGUGGGGAGCAAACAGGA
rnacentral:rRNA from 1 species